AACGUAGGGGGCGAGCGUUAUCCGGAUUUACUGGGCGUAAAGCGCACGUAGGCGGUGCUGAAAGUUGGACGUUAAAGCUCCUGGCUUAACUAGGAGAGGUCGUUCAAAACUACAGCGCUUGAGGUUGAAAGAGGAGAGUGGAAUUCCCGGUGUAGUGGUGGAAUGCGUAGAUAUCGGGAGGAAUACCAGUGGCGAAAGCGGCUCUCUGGUUCAUACCUGACGCUGAGGUGCGAAAGCGUGGGGAGCAAACGGG
rnacentral:rRNA from 1 species